UGACCUCGGAUCAGGUAGGACUACCCGCUGAACUUAAGCAUAUCAA
rnacentral:rRNA from 1 species